GAUGAACGCUGGCGGCGUGCCUAAUACAUGCAAGUCGAGCGAACAGACGAGGAGCUUGCUCCUCUGACGUUAGCGGCGGACGGGUGAGUAACACGUGGAUAACCUACCUAUAAGACUGGGAUAACUUCGGGAAACCGGAGCUAAUACCGGAUAAUAUAUCGAACCGCAUGGUUCAAUAGUGAAAGACGGUUUUGCUGUCACUUAUAGAUGGAUCCGCGCCGCAUUAGCUAGUUGGUAAGGUAACGGCUUACCAAGGCAACGAUGCGUAGCCGACCUGAGAGGGUGAUCGGCCACACUGGAACUGAGACACGGUCCAGACUCCUACGGGAGGCAGCAGUAGGGAAUCUUCCGCAAUGGGCGAAAGCCUGACGGAGCAACGCCGCGUGAGUGAUGAAGGUCUUCGGAUCGUAAAACUCUGUUAUUAGGGAAGAACAAAUGUGUAAGUAACUAUGCACGUCUUGAUGGUACCUAAUCAGAAAGCCACGGCUAACUACGUG
rnacentral:rRNA from 1 species